rnacentral:rRNA from 1 species
CUCCUACGGGAGGCAGCAGUGGGAAUCGUUGCGCAAUGGGGGCAACCCUGAUGCAGCGACGCCGCGUGAGCGAUGAAGCCCUUCGGGGUGUAAAGCUCUUUCGGCAGGAACGAUAAUGACGGUACCUGGAACGAACGAAGCUGCGGCUAACUACGCGCCGAGCAGCCGCGGUAAUAC